ensembl:snRNA U2 U2 spliceosomal RNA
AUGUUUUCGUAGAAGCACAGAGAGGAGUUAGUGACACCAACAGUCAUCAACAGUGUAGUAUCUGUUCUUAACAGUUUAAUAUCUAACACGUCCUCUAUAUGAGGACUACAUAUUAAAUAGAUUUUUAGAACAGGGAGACGGAAGACGGGCUUGCUCCAAAAUGGAAAGCAGGUUAAGCGUGAAAAAAAACAUGCAUCACAGUCUUGAGUCUAUGA